CCUACGGGUGGCAGCAGUGAGGAAUAUUGGUCAAUGGCCGUAAGGCUGAACCAGCCAAGUAGCGUGAGGGAAGAAUGCCCUAUGGGUUGUAAACCUCUUUGAUGCGGGGAAAAAGGUGUCCACGUGUGGAUGUUUGCAGGUACCGCAUGAAUAAGGACCGGCUAAUUCCGUGCCAGCAGCCGCGGUAAUACGGAAGGUCCGGGCGUUAUCCGGAUUUAGUGGGCUUAAAGGGAGCGUAGGUGGAUUGUUAAGUCAGUUGUGAAAGUCUGCGGCUCAACCGUAAAAUUGCAGUUGAAACUGGCAGUCUUGAGUACGGUAGAGGUGGGUGGAAUUCGUGGUGUAGCGGUGAAAUGCUUAGAUAUCACGAAGAAUUCCGAUUGCGAAGGCAGCUCACUGGACUGCAACUGACACUGAUGCUCGAAAGUGUGGGUAUCAAACAGGAUUAGAUACCCCAGUAGUC
rnacentral:rRNA from 1 species